rnacentral:lncRNA from 1 species
AGAAGAAUUCAGCUUUUCUUCAUGAUGUAGGAUGCUGUAUGUACUUGGAGCCAUCCUCAGUCACAGCUGCCUUUUCGUGGAUCCAAGGUCUAAGAGCCAUUUGACAUUCUGGACCACGAUUUCCCACCCACACAGUCUGCCUGAUGCUUGUUAAUGACCCAUCACAAUGGUUUUGCUUCUCUGCUGCAUAGAUUCAGAGCAGGACCUGAUGACCUUCUUAAGAGCAGCCAGAGAAGCCUGAACUGCAUGAAGAUCAGGUAAAUGACCUUCAAUGUUCUCCUGACU